CAGCAGCCGCGGGAAUACGAAGGGGGCUAGCGUUGCUCGGAAUGACUGGGCGUAAAGGGCGCGUAGGCGGCGGCCAAAGUCAGGCGUGAAAUUCCCGGGCUCAACCUGGGGGCUGCGUUUGAUACUUGGUUGCUUGAGUGGGGAAGAGGGUCGUGGAAUUCCCAGUGUAGAGGUGAAAUUCGUAGAUAUUGGGAAGAACACCGGUGGCGAAGGCGGCGACCUGGUCCUUUACUGACGCUGAGGCGCGAAAGCGUGGGGAGCAAACAGGAUUAGAUACCCCGGUAGUCCCUGUCUCUUAUAC
rnacentral:rRNA from 1 species